rnacentral:rRNA from 1 species
AGUGAACGCUGGCGGCGUGCCUAAUACAUGCAAGUCGAACGAAGUGGCGCAGGGGUGAGUAAUAUAUAGUUAAUCUGCCCUACACAGAGGAACAACAGUUGGAAACGACUGCUAAUACCUCAUAGUGUAGGAUGAGACUAUAUCGUAUCAUCUAGUUGGUAAGGUAAUGGCUUACCAAGGCUAUGACGCGUAACUGGUCUGAGAGGAUGAUCAGUAACAUUGGAACUGAGACACGGUCCAAAAACCUAAGGGAGGCAGCAGGAAGGAAGAGUGCGCAAUGGGGGAGUGCCUGACGGAGCAACGCCGCGUGGAGGAUGACACUUUUCGGGGCGUAAACUCCUUUUAUCAGGAAAGCGGUACCUGAUGAAUAAGCACCGGCUAACUCCGUGCCAGCAGCCGCGGUAAUAC